rnacentral:lncRNA from 1 species
CUUCUUCACCUUCACUUUGUGAGUUUUGUCCAAAAGAUCUUUACGUGUCUGGAUUUUCUGUGCAAUAACAAACAUGCUCUUUUCUCGCUCAAUGCGCUGCUUCAGGAGGUCAUACUGAUUCUUCCUUUGCUGGUCUAAUUUCUUUAAGUGGACGGGAUCAGUAGCUCCUUUCACUGUUUCUUUCUGCAGUGUUGCAAUGGUUGGUCGGUUGUAGACUCUGUCUACUAGCUCUGGAACAGUAUUCAGAUGAGUUGCAAUAUCAAACUCUUGAACUUCUUUCUUAGUAUCAAAAAAGAAUGUGUGCUUGUUGGGUUGCUUCCCCUCAACAUCCAGCAGAUGGAGCUCCGACUUCAGCCUUUCGAUUUUCUUGGCUUCUGCCACUCUUUUCAUUUCCACAUACUUAAGAUCCUGUGUCUUCAUCAGUUUCAUCUGUUCAGGGGUCACUUCAUCCUCGGGCUGCUUAAUUACAUGAACUCCAUCCUUGAGCUGCGUACGGAUCAUUUUGAAGUAGAACUCAUCAGGGUUCUUGUCCAGAGCUUUCUUCUGAAGCGCUCGGAGGGCAUUCUGCUUCUUGUGAUAGUCCUGUGCCCGCAGCCGGUAGUCCUUCUUCUUCUCCAGCAGCCCCAGCUUCUUCCUGCAGGCGGGCUGUGCCCGCUCGCGGUGCUGCCGCUGCCUCGAUUUGGCGGCUUUCCUGAAGGCGGCCGACAUGGCGACAGCGCGUCCCGGCGCAACACCACCGCGUGCGGACCGCCGAUCUCACCGGGCAGAGGGGCGGGGCCUGGGG